GGAAGGAUCAUUAACAAAUCAUGAGCGAAAGCUCAAAAACCUUUGUGAAUAGGCUUGUCUUUAGCAAUAGAGACAAGUUCGUUGGGUCGAGGGGAGCGAAGAGUAGGUUAACGGAGGCUAGUUUACACUAACCAAAGUUAACUAAGUGAAUGACUACUUCUAACUGCGGUUAGACUUAGGCUUCCGCUCUAAGCAUUAUUAUAGUCUAAUUAUAGUUGGAUUUCGAAAGAUUUCUAAAAACUAAUACAACUUUUAACAAUGGAUCUCUAGGCUCUUGCAACGAUGAAGGACGCAGUGAAUUGCGAUAAGUAAUGUGACUUGCAUUCAUUUGUGAAUCAUCGAAUCUUUGAACGCACCUUGCACUUUAGGAGUCAAUUCUAAAGUAUACCUGUUUGAGUAUCAUUUACAAUUAUCCAAUUUAUUGGGAUUUGAGGGUCAAGGGAGUACGCUGCCUUUCUCUUUAAAUGUAGUAGGGAACCAAGGAUAAGCGCGCUUAUAUCUUGAAUGAGGUUGUUUACUCUAGCAGUAAAAUAAUCAGGAAAGUAUAAGAAAGCGGUUCUGCUAAUUGGUCUCUUUAACCGAUCUCUGGAAACAGAAUCAACUAGAACAAUUGUGAUCUCAAAUCAGGCAAGACUACCCGCUGAACUUAAGCAUAUCAGUAAGCGGAGGAGAAGAAACUAACAAGGAUUCCCUCAGUAAUGGCGAAUGAACAGGGAAAAGCUCAAAUUUAAAAUCUGACUGGUUUCCAGUCCGAGUUGUAAUUUAUAGAAACGUUUUCUUGUAAACUGAUUGGUAAAAGUUCCUUGGAACAGGACAUCAUAGAGGGUGAGAAUCCCGUCUCUGACCUUUCAUGUUUGCUUUAUGAUACGUUUUCAAAGAGUCGGGUUGCUUGGGAAUGCAGCUCAAAAUGGGUGGUAAAUUUCAUCUAAGGCUAAAUAUUGGCAAGAGACCGAUAGCGAACAAGUACCGUGAGGGAAAGAUGAAAAGAACUUUGAAAAGAGAGUUAAAUAGUACGUGAAAUUGUUAAAAGGGAAGGGCUUGAAACCAGUAUUGUGUAUAGGAAUUCAACUGUAAUUUAUAAAGAGUUGCGGUGUAUUUUCCUGUAUGCAAGUCAAUAUCAGUUUUGUCUGCUGGAAAAGGGAAAGAGGAAGGUGAUCAUUGGUUUCGGCCUUUGGUUUUAUAGACUCUUUCUUAUACAGUGGACGGGACUGAGGACUGCAAUACUAAAAGAUCUAUUUGGCUUAUAGCGAAGUUGCUAGGAGAGACUACUUGUAGAUUCUUCUAACUGCUCAGGUAUACAGUCAAUACGAUACUCCAGUAUUUAGGAUAUUGACGAAAUGGUUUUAAACCACCCGUCUUGAAACACGGACCAAGGAGUCCAACAUAUAUGCAAGUAUUAGAGUGUUAAACUCUGAUGCGUAAUGAAAGUGAAUAAUGAGAGCCUUCGGGUGCAUCAUUAACCCACCUAGAAGUUUUAAUGGAUAGGUUGGAGUUCGAGCAUAUCUGUUGGGACCCGAAAGAUGGUGAACUAUGCCUGAAUAGGGUGAAGUCAGAGGAAACUCUGAUGGAGGCUCGUAGAGGUUCUGACGUGCAAAUCGAUCUUCAAAUUUGGGUAUAGGGGCGAAAGACUAAUCGAACCAUCUAGUAGCUGGUUCCCUC
rnacentral:misc_RNA from 1 species